UUAAAUGAUGAUCAAUUUCCUAUAUUUAAUAUAACUUUCGUUCUACUGAAUAAUGAUCAAACGAUCGUGUAGAAAAAAUAUUUUCUGAAU
rnacentral:snoRNA from 1 species